rnacentral:sRNA from 1 species
GGUCUGCAAGGGGGUUUCAGGGAUGGGGAUGGGGAGUGGAGAAGAACACCCCACUAGGGGCAGCCUGUUUACACAUGGCCGGUGUCCACUUUCACUGUUGGCAGGACAAUGAAAAUGCUCUGCCUGGAAGUUAGACUACUAGAAGAACUUACACUGGGUUGGUAUGGGAUCAACAUACCACUCAGUACUAACCAGUGAGGACGACAGGAUAUUCAUAGGAACUGAAGUGCCCUGUACUACUAGGGUUAGGGUUACUGGACAGGGAGAGGUGGGUGCUGGGCACUGGGGAGAGGGUUCCUGAUGGAUUUAGGAGGCACAGUCGGACUGAGAUCGAGAAGGAGAAAGUCCGCAGUGCUGGAGGAGGUGUAUGGCAGGGCUAGGAGAUCAGUUUCUUUGUAGUCUUAAACUGAACAGAGGGCAGGGUCCACACAGGUUUAGGCCUGGCCCCAGGGUAAUCAGCCUUGGUCAUCCCCCACUCUAGGGGCAACUUUAAACCUUAGUUUGGGAUCCCCCGUCCUGCUUUCCAGGCCCCUUCCCCUCUUCUCUCCAAAAAUAGCCCCCACCCCCUUCCUCCCUUAGGGAUCUUUUUACACAGCAGGCAGGCUCAGCUUUCUCAGGGCAAGGCCAGGUUGCAGCCACUCAGCAGCCCUGAAGGUUCUAGUGGCUCCUCCAUUUGUCGUUAGUUGAAGUAAUGGGACUCUGGAAAUGCUUCUCCCAGCCUUUUUUGCUCUGUUUGGGUAGUAGGGAAGGUGUUCAGUGUCCCUGGAUCCCAAUGUCUGUGUACCCACAUCCUAGUGUUAGGUGCAGGGAGAGGUGGUGAGUCAAUAUAACAUGGGAGACAGGGCAGACAGGGCACUGGGUGCCUUAGGGCUAGGCCAUUGUUUUCCUUCUCUUUGCUUCUCCCUCCCCUACAAUUAGGGGCACAGUGUUUCUCAGUCCUCUUGUCCAGGCCUGGAUGACCUGAAGGCACAGUCCUCACCCCUGAUUCUGGAGCUCAGCCCCCAGGAAGCAGGCCACAUCUAUAGUGCUGGGAGGAGGGCGAGACUUGUGGCUUGUUUCAUGUAGAAUUCCAGUGUGAGGGCUUCUCUAUUUGGCUGUUAUGAGCUUCCACUAUUAUGGGGUAGUCUGGUUUGCUUAGAUUUCUUCCAUGUCCCUUCAUUUCUCUCAAAUCUUAGCCCUGGGAUUCCCUUCUCAACCCUCCAGAUUCUGACUUCCCUUGAUCUGAUAGUUCCAGGCUAAGUGGGGGCCGAGAGAGACUUAGGGGAGAUAAAAAGAGGUGUCUUGGGAGCAGCUGGGGAGGGGCGAAUAUAGCAGGUUGGGGGAGGUGGUGGUUAGAGAAGAGAGCCAGUGGGAAGAGAGCUCCCUGGCCACCACAAGGAUGAAGGGCUGGCUGGCUGGCAGGAAGGAAUGGGCCCCAGCACAGCCUCUGCGGGCCAAUCAGAGUGGCAACUGUGAAGGAACCCAGAAACCUGAAAUGCUCCCAACUGGCUGGAAAUCUCAGCUUCCUGUGGUGCUCUGACACUCUCCUGUAUAGAAUUUCAACAUCUUCUGAGAUUUGAAGACACUUGAUGGAAAAUGUUGUAGAGAGUUCACACCAUCCAUAGUCAUUGUACUGGGAGAGAGAAGGAAGCAAAUGGGCAGGAACAUUGAUUACGGGCUUCCGCAUGGUUUCCAGUGACAGCACAGACCACAAACAUGCCAUCCAGCUACAGAAGAAACAAAGACCCAGACAAGGCCCUCAGAGGCAGCCUGGACCACUAGCAUCAACAUGGCCUCAGGUGACAGUGUAGCGCACUCACCUCAAUAUGAUCCCUGGUAGCAACACUGCUCAUAGAUAACAUGGCCCCAGGAUGCAGCAUAGAGAAAUCUGAGACCUGGGACCCAGACAUGGCCCUUGGCAGCAGCAUGAUCUGGACAUCACCAUGGCCCCAGGUGUCAGUGCAGACCACCGAUACCAAAAUGGCCCCUGGUGGUAGCAUGGCCAUGGACAUAAAUACAUCAUCAGGUUGUAGCACGGAGCAUGCACAUCCUUAUAGCCUUGGAUGGUAACACAGACCACAGACCAACAUGGCCUUGGUCAUAUCAGGACUCACUCAUGGCACUUAGCAGUAGUACAAACCUUAUGCCUCAACAUGGCCUUAGGUGGCUACACAAGCCAUUCACAUCAACACUUCUCUCUUCAAAUGGGCUUCAAUUAGCAGCAGACUGCAUAUGUUCACAUGGAUUAUCUUUAUAGAUCUGGGGGAGAAGUUUUAUUUUGUUCAUUUAUUUGUUUUUUUUUUGUGUGUGUUUGUUUUUUUGUUUUUGUUUUUGUUUUUCAAGACAGAGUUUCUCAGUCCUAGCUGUCUUUGUAUUCACUUUGUAGACAAGGCUAACCUUUAGGGACCCUGUUAAUCAUCUGAUGUAUUUGAAACCAUAUUAUGAUGGUUAGUUUUAAUUUUCAAGUGUACACAGCCUAGAAUUACCUAGGAAAAUUGUCUAAAUGAGGAGUUUAAUUUGGGUUGGCCUAUGGGCAUGUGUGUAGAAUAUUGUCUUAAUUAAGAUAAUUUUAUGAGAAGGCCCAAUGCAGUAUGGGGGGCUCCAUUGCCUAAACAAGGGUCUUGGUCUGUAUAAGAGUAGAAAAAUCCAAGUCAGCAAACUUGUACACCAAUACUUCUGCAGCUUUUGACUGUGAAUGUGAUGAGACCAGCUCUUUGAAGUUCCUUCCUUGAUUUCCCCAUGAUGAUAGACUGUAAUCUGAAAACAUAAGCUAAAUAAACCCUUUUCUCCAUAUU